UAACCACUUUCCUUUCUCAGAAUUCAGGCCUGUCCUCAGAAUGCUACAGGUGACAGCCCAUUUGAGCUCCUGUGUGACCAACGUGGACUGCACCCCAAAAAAACUUUCAUCCCUACUGUCUUCUGUCUAGUCAUACUCCUAUUCACCGUUCUCAACUACUCAUAAACGCCCUGCUCAUGUUUACACUGCCAGUUUACACUGUUUCUCCGAGCCAUCAUAGCUGAUAUCUCCUAGUGCUAUCCCAAACUGCCACUCUAAAUUCCCUCUUAAAGUAAAUAAAUAAUCUUUGCUAGCAAGGCUAUGCUGAGCCUCCUUAAGCACUCUCUAAUUAGAUGUCCUAGGUCCUCCCAGUUCUUAGUCCUUUAAUACCUGUUUUCUCUCCUUUACUUAUUCAGACCUUGUGUCUUCUGUUUAGUUUGUUAAUUCAUACAAAACCGCAUCCAGGUGAUCACCAAUCAUUCAAUAUGACAAAUGUUUCUUCCAUUGGCCCCACACUUAUCUCCCUUUGCUGACUCUCGUUUCGGACUCAGCCCGCCUGCACCCAGGUGAAAUAAACAGCCAUGUUGCUCACACAAAGCCUGUUUGGUGGUCUCUUCAUACCGACGCGCACGACAUUUUGGUGCCGUGACUCCAAAUAGCCAGAAAACUGCACGUUCGAUUUUUUCCAUCCUACAAGAGCUAAAUAAUUCUUGUCAUAAAGUAGGCAAACGGUCUGAGGUGCCUGGCGUCCAGGCAUUCUUUUACACAUCAGUCCCUCCCUAGUCUCUGUUUCCAAUGCAACUCAUCCCAAAUCUUCCUUCUUUCCCUCCCGCCUGCCCCUCAGUCCCAACCCCAAGCGUUGCUGAGUCUUUCUAAUCUUCCUUUUCUACAGACCCAUCUGACCUCUUCCCUCCUCGCCAGGCCGAGCUAGGUCCCAAUUUUUCCUCAGCCUCUGCUCCCCUACCCUGUAAUCCUUUUAUCACCUCCCCUCCUCACACCUGGUCUGGCUUACAGUUUCCUUUCUCGACUAGCCCUCCCCCACCUGCCCAGCAAUUUCCUCUUAAAAAAGUGGCUACAGCUAAAGGCAUAGUCAAGGUUAAUGUUCCUUUUUCUUUAUCCGACCUCUCCCACAUCAGUUAGCGUUUAGGCUGUUUUUCAUCAAAUAUGCAAAACUUAGCCCAGUUCAUGGCCUAUUUAGCAGCGACCCUGAGACGCUUUUCAGCCCUAGACCCUGAAAGGUCAGAAGGCCGUCUUAUUCUUAACAUGCAUUUUAUUUUAUUACCCAAUCUGCUCCCCACAUUAAAUAAAGCUCCAAAAAUUAAAGUCCGGCCCUCAAACCCCAUAACAGGACUUAAUGAACCUCGCCUUAAAAGUGUACAAUAAUAGAGUAGAGGCAGUCAAGUAGCAACUUAUUUCUGAGUUGCAAUUCCUUGCCUCCACUGUGAGACACACCCCAGCCACAUCUUCAGCACACAACUGCAAACGCCUGAACCGCAGCUGCCAGGGGUUCCUCCAGAACCUCCUCCCCCAGGAGCUUGCUACAAGUGCCAGAAAUCUGGCCACUGGGCCAAGGAAUGCCCGCAGCCCGGGAUUCCUCCUAAGCCGUGUCCCAUCUGUGCGGGACCCCACUGGAAAUCGGACUGUUCAACUCGCCCGGCAGCCACUCCCAGAGCCCCUAAUGCUCUGGCCCAAGGCUCUCUGACUGACUCCUUCCCAGAUCUUCUCAGCUUAGCGGCUGAAGACUGACGCUGCCCCAUCGCCUCAGAAGCCUCCUGGACCAUCACAGACGCUUCAGCUCCCUGUGUCCUCUGCUUCAUCCAGGACUGCAUGAAAGAAGUCUCCCGAGUCACUGUCAAUCAGAUGCUACUCCACCCCUAUACCCAAGUUCCGACCUCUGAAGGACCCCACAAAGACCUAUACCAGCAGGAAGCAGCCAGAUGAACACGUCGCCCCUUUUUCUUAUUAGAAAGAGGUCGGAAUGUUAGGCAGGAAUCUAGACCCAACAUGGCGGUAUCACCCGGCAUGGCAGGCCCUUUGUUAGGACUUCCCACCCUUCACUUCCUGCUAAGACUCUCAGCGCCGGAAAAAAGCCCGGGCCUGCCCAAGAACCCCUGCUCUGCGCAAGCUCCUGGACGCGUCAUUCCCCAGAAAUCAAAACCUAACUCAGGAAAACCGAAACCUACAAACCCCACCUACCUCGCCCUAUAAAAGGUCCCGAUACCUUGGCCUUCCCCCUAGAGGACCGGUGAACCUCGCCUGCGAGCCCAGUAAAGGCUACCUAUGUUCUCAUC